rnacentral:lncRNA from 1 species
ACACAAAGACAUAAAAGAGUCGCUCAGGGAAAUGAUAAAAAGAAGAGAGCAGGCAAUUAAAGCAGGGGAAGAGAGCAAUGAGGACUUGUUGGACAUACUUGUGGAAUCCAAUAUCAGAGAAAUGGAAGCAAAGAAAAAGGGGAUGAGCAUUGAGGAUGUGAUUGAGGAAUGCAAGCUGUUUUACUUUGCUGGCCAGGAGACCACUUCGGUCUUGCUGGUGUGGACUAUGGUUUUAUUAGCAAGGUAUCCCGAUUGGCAAAGUAAAGCAAGAGAGGAGGUUUUGCAUGUUUUGGGUGACAGUAAACCUGAUGCUGAUGGCCUUAAUCGCCUCAAAGUUGUAAGUCCCUAGCAUGUCUUUUGAAGGUCCGAUCAAUAAGGUCGACAACUCAAAAAUUUGGUUUCUUUUUUCGCUAAUUCUACAGUUAACAAUGAUAUUGUACGAGGUUCUAAGGCUGUACCCAUCAGCGACUGAGCUAGGACGUUCCGUUCCAAAAGAAAUAAAACUGGGAAAUUUGUUGUUACCAGCAGGAACAGAAAUUUCGGUUCCGAUCCUGCUGAUCCACCAUGACAAAGAUCUUUGGGGCGAUGACGCACGGGAAUUUAAGCCAGAGCGGUUCGCGGAAGGGGUUUCCAAAGCAACAAAGAGUCAAGUCACGUUUCUGCCAUUCGGAUGGGGUCCUAGGAUCUGCAUUGCCCAGAAUUUUGCUAUGAUGGAAGCCAAAAUGGCGGUGGCCAUGAUUCUCCAACGCUUCUGGUUCGAGCUUUCCCCUUCCUAUGCUCACUCUCCUUGCAGCAUGGUAACGCUUCGUCCACAGCAUGGUGCACAGAUUAUUUUACAUAAACUUGGCUCUAAUUGAGUAGUUAUGUAAACAAAUCAUUGUGAAAAUAGUGUUUUAACGUAUCGUAAAAACUCCGGUGUCUGUAAUGGAACAUUUCCGAUGCAUGGAUAGUAAAUUUUGUGAUGUUUGGUGAAGUCCGAAAUAAUAUGCAGAACUUGAGUGUCCUGAAUGGAUGUAGUAUUUAAUGGUGGACAUAGUUGAGGGACUAAUGUGGGAAUUAUCAAACAAAGAAUUGCAUAUGGUACAAAGACUUGUAUGGAAAUUAGAGCAGGGGGAGUAGAAAAUGACUACUUCUACGGGCAUCAAUUGAGAAAGAUUUCCGGUGCAAAUGUUAGCAAAUUUUUGAGCUUCAGCCUUAAACAUUAGCAAGAUUGCAAUACCGGGAUUAUCUAGUGUUGGUUGCCCACUCAAUUGAGGGUUAAGUUGAAGGAUUUGUUGAAGCAAGCUAAGCUAUCAAUCAAGGUUGGAGAAAGCUUAGGAGGUCACAAUACAUCAUUAUUGCAUAAUUAUUUAAAUGAAAUUUAAUAUUUAAAUAAAAAAUAUUAAUAUAGUACCAACAAUAUUCCAUUUCUUUUAACCAAGUGUUUCUAGAUUAUGAAAUUCAUUAAUGAUUUGUAAAAUAUAUUGAUGCGAUCCCGGCCGCAUCAUGUUUCGAUACAACUCGACGACCUCAGAAUUGACCUAAACUCUAGGGGCCCAAGUGCAAAAUGAAGCUUAAUUUCAGCUCAAUGAGCUCAAUUCUAGCUUCUUCAAGCUCGUCUAGUUCAACCCAAGCUCAUUUAGCUUAACUUCAACCCAUUUUUAAUUUGUUGGAAUAAGUAUUUAGUUGCUGGAAUAAAUUACUCAUCUUAGUUAAUUGAGUUCAUCUUAGUUAAUUAAGUUGUUGGAAUAUGUUACUCAUCUUAGUUAAUUUAGUUGCUAGAAUAAUUUAUUGUUGCAUGUGUUUUUAAGUUUAUUAAAUUCAGUUAAGUGUUAAAUGUGUUUAUUUACAGUUUAUUAACUAAGCUUGUUAAGUCUAAUAUGUGUUAAAAUGUGUUUAAUGUGUUUGUUUGUAGGUGACUAAUCAGUUGGAAACAGUUAUGUACAAGGGCUGUUACAAAGUGUUAAAUGCGACUAUUCAUUUGGAAUCGGUUACAUACAAGGGGCUAUUACAUUAUUUAAAGGAGAGCAUUAUACAUCAUUUAAAGGAGAAUUUAAAGCUUUUCCUAAACUUUUUGGCUGCUCAAGAAUGAAAUCUAAGCAUUCAAGCUUAUUAAAUCAACUGAAUUAGAACAUUAAAUGAUCUUAUUGAUAGUUGCUGUUAUUUAGGCCUAGAAUUUCAAGAGUUUGUGCUUAGUGACUAAGUUAAUUUCAGCUCAUUAUUAGCUCAUUAAGCUGAACAAAAGUGACUAUUCGGCUAGGCCUCAUUUAGCACUAUAAAUACUUGUAAUCAGCUCAUUGUAAAAAAAACUUUUUGCUGAAUUUAUGCUAAAUUUGAAACUUGUGAGAUUUCCAAUUCUCGUUGUUCUUUCGAGAUUGAAUUGACUUAUCAAGUUUUCUUGUGGCAUCAUUCUUUCUUUUGUUUAAACCGAACUUAUCACCUUUUGGUGUGGCGUUCAUAUACAUUUGGUUCCUAUCACUUUUGAUAGUGGGUAAAGGUCCUUGCUGUUUUCUUUAAACCGUAAAUCACCUAAGAGCUAUUUUGAGACUCGGGUCAACAAUCUAAUAUUGUUGGUUCAUUCUCGGUCUUAGCCAAAUUAUCCAUUAUUUACUUAACCAUUUUACCUACUACCAUUGUUUGAAGCCAUUUAUCCUAUUUUGUUUCAUUUAACUGAAACGAACUUAUCCUUACUCAAUUCACGAUCGGGUAAUCUAAACGACUCGAAUCAUUCCGAAACGAGUUCGUAUCAUAUAUCCUCCAUUCUUAUUGAGUGGGUGUAAUGAAAAUUCUCCUAUUUCUAAUUGUGAUAAAGUAGAGACUCUCUUUAGAAAAAAGGCAGCAACAUUUUUCAAUUAUUAAUUGAACACCUUGGUGAAUUUUCGUUUUUUUUCUUUUUUUCUUUUUACGGUUCAAUUUUCGUUUGGGUAUUGUAAUUUCAGGUUAAUCAUUGUUUGGUUGAUAUUCUCAACUUCAAUCUUUAAUUUACUUGAGAUUAUUAGUUGAUUGUUUUUGUUGGAAUCAUAUGAUUUUAUUGUGUAUUUAUGUUUUAAUCUUUUAGAAAGAAGUUUUUAUGUGGACUUUCAAGCUUCGUAAUUUUUAUUAUUUGCUUUACGUAAAAAAAACUCGUGGGAUACAAAAAUUCACAAAAAAACUUGCUAUAAGAUUACAACACAAAACCAUAAGCUUAUAACUCAACAAAAGCUAUCAAUAAAUAAUCUCAAGCUAGCUAAAGAGAAAUGUAGAGAAUAUCACCCAAACAGUAACUUGCUUUAAAAGUUAAAAAUCCAAAGUUAUAGUACCCCAAACGAAAAUCGAAUAUUAAACAUUAAAGAUCUUCGAUUCUACUAGCUAUUGUAAAAAAAAAAAUUCCAACGGACACCAAAUAGACCUUUGAUCGAAGAAAAUACGAAAACUAGUCUGGUUAAAACUACAUGCCAAACUCACUUUUUCUCAUUUCUUUAACUUGCGGUGAAAUUCAAAACUAAUGUUAUAUUUUUUCACUGAAAUUAACUUUAAAAAAAUUAUCUGAAAAAAAUGAUUGAUUUUUCAAAAAAGAUUGAUAUUUUUUUAUGUUUGGAUGAUUUUUUGUAAAAUAUAUUUCGUUGUUUGACAAAUUUUUUUGAAAUAAUUUUCUUAGAGUUGUUUUUAGUAAAACAAACAUAAGAUAGAUAUAUUUGUUACAAAAGAUUAUAGUAACAUUUUCUUUUGACAAUUUAAAUUUAUUUUAUAACAAGAUGAUAUUUUAUAAUAAUUAAUAUUAUAUAUAAACUUAAUAAUAAACAAUAUCUAAUUAAAACUUAAUUUAUAUUAAAUAUAUUAAUAAAGCUAAGUAUAAUUUAAACAAAUACUCAUGUUUUAUAUCAUUAAAAUAUUAAUAUAAAUAUUUUUCAAUAAUAUAUUAAGAAUAUUAUUUAAAAUUUAAAAUUAUUAUUUUUAAAAUUAAUUAUUAAAAUAAAAAUGUAAUAUUAAAUAAUUUAUCAAAAUGAUAAGUCAUAUUAAUAAUUUAUUAGAUUAUUAAAUAUAAAUAAUUAAAUAUGUAUAUUUAAUAAUAUUGAACAUUAUAAUAUUUUUUAUUAAUAUUUUAAUAUUAUUAAUAUAAUAAUAUUGGACUUGAUUCAAGUUAAUUUUUAUAUAAAAAAAAUAAAAUUACAUGUAAAUGAACUCAUUUUCAAAAAAAUAACUUGUACUUUUAAAAAAGGUAAACUAAUUUACAGAAAAACAAACUUAUUUUCUGUUAAUCUAUAAUUUUUUUUGUUAAUCAAAUUAUUUUCAUGAAAUAAAUAUAAAAAAAUACAAAAAAAAAACAGUUUCCAUAUUAACACUCAAUACUAAACUGUCAUUUUCCUCCGCUUCCCUAAUUUGUAUGUAGCAGUGAACGUUUGAUCGAAUCGAGUAAAAAAAAUUGAGUUGACGAGUCAUAUUUUAUCAUCUUAACUUGAUUUGAAAUUUUUUUAAAUCAAGUCAAAGACUAAGAGCACAUAAAUUUGAAACCUUAUCUAUUUGAAUUUGUUUUAAAAAAAAAAAGAAAAAAAAUACUUUAGCAUGAUAAACUUGAAUUGUGAAUUAACUUAUUUAGGUCCCAAAAUUAUUAUUUUAUAAUUUUUUUAAAAAAUAUAAAUUUUAAAAUUUUUAUAAAUAUUUUGAAUUGAAUUUUUGUUGAAAGAGAGACCGAUCUAUCAUUUUCAAAAUUAAAAAAAAGACCAAACUAUAUUUACAGUAAUUUAUUAUUCGAAUUAUUUAAAUUAUAUAAUUUAACUCAAUUUAAAAUCGAAACUCGAAUAACUCAAUUUUUAACCCGAAAUUUAUUUUUUAAAUUUUUUAAAUCAAAUCGAAUUUUGUUCGCCCUACAUCAAUAACUUUGUAUCCAUAUCAAGCUUUUUUUUAAGCUAUAUAUAUUAUUUUAGAGAAUACAUGGUCACCACGGUUCAAUGAUUGAACACCACUCCACUCUCCACUUUUUUUAGAUAAGUCUUUGGCCUGUGUGGUUUAUCCUCUUAAUUUUUUGAGGAUAUCAUUUACUAAAUAAUUUAUUUUUUACAUAAAUUUUAAUAUAUAUUAAUAAUAAAUUAAUUCAAUUGGUAAUAUUUAACUAUUCUCAUAACUCAUUUUUAAUAAAGAAAAUAAUAAAAUUCGAUUAUGAUAAGGAGGUUUUAUUUUUAACAAAAAUUAUUUUUUAUAUUUCUAAGUUUAAAUCUAAAUUUAUACAAGUUAUUCUUUAUUUUAUAUCUAAUUAUUGUAAAACAUAAAUAAUAUUUUUUUUUCCUUUUCAUGCUACCAAACAAUCCAUUAAUCAUUAAUUAUAUUAAAAUCUUUGACUUAUUAAUAUUUAUGGAAAGUAAAUCGGAUGCUAAAGAAAUCUUAGUCAAACCAAAAAGAAAGAAGAGAUAGAGGUGGGCAAAGCUGAGGUUCAGCUUUCAUAAACACCUUCAUUUGAAGACACAGUUCUCAUACUCAAACCAAAAGACAUGGAAGUUUUCCUUGUAAUUAGAGAUCUGGUUUCACUGCUUGUUGUUGGGUUAUUAAUGAUAUGGGGAUGGAGGGCUUUAAACUGGGUAUGGUUGACCCCAAAGAGACUCGAAAGGUGCUUGAAACAACAGGGUUUUGCAGGAAAUCCUUAUAGGUUCCUUUCUGGAGACAUCAAAGAGAGCUUCACUAUGAGCAGACAAACAAGAGCCAAACCUAUGCCUGUUAGUGAUGAUAUUGAGGCUUAUGUUGUUCCUUUUCUUCAUCGAACUAUCAACAAUCAUGGUAUGUUCUACAUUAAUCUGCAAUUUCAUCGUGAUAUUCAGAUUUCUUUUUUUAUGUCUGAAGUUUAUUAGGGGAUAUGCAGGAAAUAAUUCAUUUAUGUGGUUUGGUCCAAGACCAAGGGUGACAAUUAUGGACCCUGAAAAAAUAAGAGAAAUAUUUACCAAAUUCAAUGACUUCCAGAAGCCUCAUUCCAAUCCACUGGUUAGAUUCCUUGUAGGUGGCCUUUCCAACCUCGAGGGAGACCAAUGGAGUAAGCAUAGAAAAAUUUUAAACCCUGCAUUUCAUCAAGAUAAGUUGAAGGUAUGUUGUAUUUGCACUUUUUUUCCUCUUUCAAUUCAAUCAUUUUGACUUACCUUAAUCAAUACCUUUAGGAGACUAAUUUUCAUUUCUAAUAUAUUUAUGUACUUCUGGUAUGGAAAUAAUUGCAGAACAUGUUGCCAGCAUUUUAUCAAAGUUGUAAUGAGAUGAUAAGCAAAUGGGAGGAGAUGGUGUCUAAAGAAGGGUACAGUGAGUUAGAUGUGUGGCCUUAUAUCGUAAAUAUGACAAGAGAUGUGAUUUCCCGAGCUGCGUUUGGGAGCAGCUACGAAGAAGGAAGAGGAAUUUUCCAACUAUUAGAGGACCUAACCUCUCUCACAAUCAAAGUUUUUCAAUCUGUUUACAUUCCAGGAUGGAGGUAAACCUGAACUUUAUCUUCGAGUUUUAAGGAAAAUGUUACAGAUGUUGAAAUUCGAAUCUCGGGUGUUUGUUUUCUUGAAGGUUUUUACCCACAAAGACUAACAGGGAGUUGAAGAUGAAACACAAAGACAUAAAAGAAUCGCUUAGGGAAAUGAUAAAGAGAAGAGAGAAGGCAAUUAAAGCAGGGGAAGAGAGCAAUGAGGACUUGUUGGACAUACUUGUGGAAUCCAAUAUCAGAGAAAUGGAAGCAAAGCAUAAGGGGAUGAGCAUUGAGGAUGUGAUUGAGGAAUGCAAGCUGUUUUACUUUGCUGGCCAAGAGACCACUUCGGUCUUACUGGUGUGGACUAUGGUUUUACUAGCAAGAUAUCCUGAUUGGCAGACUAAAGCAAGGGACGAGGUCUUGCAUGUUCUUGGUGACCGUAAAC